GUCGAUGCGCUUGGUGUUCGCGCUGACCCCAGCCGCCCCCAGUAUCACUUCCGGCGGCGCGCGGGGACAGAGAGCGAGGGAGGGCGGCGGGGCUGUGGCGGUUGGCGGCGGAGGGUGGGUGCUGCCGUGUCCCUCUCCGCACGGCUCUCUCCCGUUGCCAGCAGCUUUCAGACAGAGGACAAAACAAAAGAGAAGAACAGAAAGAAGAUAGCAGUAACACUGAAUGCAGUGACCUAGGAAUCAUGGAUCUGAAAUUUAACUCAUCAAGAAAAUACAUUUCCAUAAGUGUACCUUCCAAAUCUCAGGCUAUGUCACCUCAUAUCAAAUCAGUAGAUGACAUUGUAGUUCUUGGCAUAAAUCUCAGCAAAUUUAACAAACCUACUCAAUUCUGCAUCUGUGUUUCUGGAGUUUUUAUGUUUUAUCUAAUCUAUGGAUAUUUACAGGAACUGAUAUUUUCAGUGGAAGGAUUUAAACCCUUUGGUUGGUACCUUACUUUAGUGCAAUUUGGAUUUUAUUCCAUAUUUGGACUAAUAGAAUUGCAGUUGAUUCAGGACAAAAGGAGAAGAAUUCCUGGGAAAACCUACAUGAUAAUAGCCUUUUUAACAGUGGGAACUAUGGGUUUGUCAAAUACCUCUUUAGGAUAUCUGAAUUACCCUACUCAAGUCAUCUUCAAGUGCUGUAAACUGAUUCCAGUUAUGAUAGGUGGGAUUUUUAUACAAGGAAAACAUUACAAUAUUGCAGAUGUUUCUGCUGCCCUGUGUAUGAGUCUUGGAUUAAUAUGGUUUACUUUAGCUGACAGCACGGUUGCACCAAACUUCAACUUAACAGGUGUGGUCCUAAUAUCCCUUGCCCUCUGCGCAGAUGCAGUUAUAGGAAAUGUACAGGAAAAAGCUAUGAAGUUGCACAAUGGUUCUAAUUCAGAAAUGGUUUUGUAUUCCUAUUCAAUAGGUUUUGUGUAUAUUUUAUUGGGAUUAACAUGCACUAGUGGAUUAAGCCCUGCAGUAACAUUUUGCUCAAAGCAUCCAGUUCAGACUUACGGUUAUGCAUUCUUUUUCUCCCUGACUGGAUAUUUUGGAAUAUCCUUUGUUCUAGCUUUGAUUAAAAUCUUUGGUGCCCUUCUGGCUGUAACAGUAACAACAGGAAGAAAAGCAAUGACCAUUGUGCUUUCUUUUUUGUUCUUUGCAAAGCCAUUCACUUUCCAGUAUGUGUGGUCAGGCUUAUUGGUUGUCCUUGGUAUAUUUCUUAAUGUUUACAGUAAGAAUAUGGAUAAAAUCAAACUGCCUUCACUGCAUGGUCUUUGGAAAAAAAGUGUGGAAGAAAGAAAAACAAGGACGUUGUCACAAACCGUAUAGACAUUCCACGUCUGACUUACUGUUUUAUUGGAACAGUCUUCAACUGAUUCACUUUCCAAAGGGAACAUUAUUAAAACCAAAGGAGCUGAAGGCAUAUUGUCUGCUAGCAGGUGGCUAAAAAUGCACGUUUUUGUGAGCCCUUUCUUCAGAGCACUUGAAUUCAUCAUAAAAGGUGUUACAGGCCAUUGUCAGAUGGCGUUAUGAGGCAAUGAAGGACAGCAGCUCCUGGCAGACUGCUGAGAAGCUGCACUCCAACUGCUGUGUUGAUUGAUUGUGUCCUGGACAAGGGAGAGGUGCGAAUGUGACAAAUGGAUACACCUUAAAAGAGGAGGAUGGCUGCAACACUAGAAUGGAUAGUGAUGAUAACCAUGGCAGGCCAAAGUUUUAUGAUAAGCAUUCUAGCUGAAGCAUCAAUACCGGAGAAUCUGUUCCUAACGCUUCUGCCUCUUCUCCAAAGUAAUGUUAGCACGUGAAUUCAGCAGUGUAUUAUCAAAGUGGAUAAAUAUUGGAUCCUGUUUAGCCCACCCUUUAGAGAGCUGUCUGCUCUAAAAAUCCUCUAAAAACAUGAAAAAGAGAGGAGUGCUGACACUGAAAUACUGCCCAGGCUCGCUGUAGCAUAGGCCUCUUAGGUCCCAGCCUGCUGCCUGUGCACCGAAGUAUGUGGCCUCCCGGAUUUUAUGGUCAUUAGAAACGCCAAAGAAGUACCUGUGAGGAAAUAACACUAAUGUAGACUAUAAAUUAUAUUUCACUAUGAAGAAAGAGAUCUUCAUAUCAGAAGGCCAGCUGAAGUACCAGAUUAGGUGCACUUCACGGCAAAGAUACUGUUUGUUCCUGUUGGUCUGUGCUGCAUCCACUCUGAGGCAACAGCAAAUGCAUAAAUAAGCACAGGUACAGAGACAGGCCAAAUACUCUCCCUCUGAUUAAAGAUGUAACUCUUUCUACUGUAUACAUGCAACUAAUUUGUUGUAUUUAUCAGUUCGCACAAGUGACUGACGAAGGGAAUUAAAGAUGCCUUGAUAUGCAAAACUGGUGACAGAGCAAAAAAGCUGCAAGAUGGACUUUACUAUCCUGUCCCGAUCUACUAAAUUUAAUUCAGCCCGUUUACACUGUUAGGGUGAUAGGAAAAGCUGUCUAGAACAUGGACUGAGCUGAGCAUGUGCAACUUGCAGCCUUCCUGGAAAGACACAUUUUAAAUCUGCACCCAAUGCGAAAAAGUGGUUUUUUUCACUCCCUUCCCAUAAUUCUACCUGGAUGAUAAGCAAAUGGGGGGGGGAGGGGAGAAGAGGCCUUUUCUAUUCUCUCCAAUGGGCCUUUUGAAUUUAUUUCAGAAGUGUUUAAUGGAACUGACAGGAGUGUACUUAGAUAUCUAUGUAAAUCCUGUAGUGGUUAAGUUAGAUGAAACAGAUGUUCUUACCAUAGGGCUCCAUGCUUAACAGAAGUAUUUAGGCUUCUCAGUCAGUGGGAAAAAAGUUACUAAGUAUUUGUGUGGAUCUCUCUCACUCCUACACUCAGGUGACUCCUCCUAAGAAGCUGUGUAGGAUUAGGAAUAAUGAAAAAGGUAUGGGUGAUUAGAAGGUACAAUGAUACUCAUUCCAGUCCUGAUUUCCAUGUCAUCCUCUCUUUGGCAGGCCACCUCAACACACAGCAAAAUUUUUGGCAGGUGGUUUCUUGAUGAUAGGCUAAAAUGUAGGAACCAAAUUAACUUCUGCUAUAAAAGUGAAAAAUUCCACCAAUUUGUGUGGGGCUACAUAGCUUUCCACAUGUGGACAGUGUGACUGUGGGGAAGUUACAAAAUGUCUCCUGGAGAAAUGUGUUACUAGCCGUGGCCUACAGCUUCCAACAUUUUCAAGCCUUUCUUGCCAGUCUCCCUGUCAGAGGUACAUCCUCGGAACGUGGUCCCGUGCGAAGUCCUAACCUAGAUGUGUUACACCUGAACGUUGACACGAAAAUCUCUCAAGCUGAACAAUUGUAAGCCAAAUAACAGCCAGAACAUAGUUUCACUGCCAACGGUUUGAAACUCAGGUGGCUGCAGUCCCAUACCCAAACUUAUACCGAGGUACCUAAAUUUAAGCUGACAUUUAGCUGCAUGUGCUCAGUGUCAUUGAAAAUCCACUUUUAUUUCAAUGCUUAUACAGAAACUAACUUCAGGAACACAGGCUGAAAAAUAUUAACUGAUGCUAAUAUAUUAUUACUAAUAAAUUCCUUUCUUGAUCUUGAAAACCACUGUGCAUCUUUGCAUUGUAUACAGCAUGUUGUCUUAUAGUCAGGCUACAGGGGAGUGUGAGUCAGGUCUCUAAUUUCUGUUCACAGCUCUCCCAUUGACUUCAUAAGAAGUCUAGGGAAAAUCAUUCUCUUUCUCUAUUUACACCCUCUAACUUCCUAAGACAGAUCGGUCGGGGAUACUACUUCCCAGAAUUGCUGAGAGGCCUAAUUAAUUUGCAGGGUGCUUUGAGUUGUUUGAAUGAAAGGCACUACAGAAGUGGAAAAGUAUUAAUUAUUAUUAUUAUUUCACAGGAGCCCUUUUCAUUGUUCUAAUGAACAAUCCGUGUCUGGUGGAAGGCUGCCUUCAAAUCUUUCUAGAUUUUAGAACCCAACAGCUGCAACAAGGCAUAGGAGUGCACAGCGGCACUACCCAAAUUCAGUAAUGGAUGCUGGUUGCAUUGUCCAUGAUAUCUGCAGGAGCAAAGAUAUUUGAGCUCUAUAAGCAGUGUAAUGAAUGAAACUCAUCCUACAAAGCAGGUAGAUUUGUUUUGCUGAUCCACAGAGCUAGACUAAAAUUUGCAGCUACACUAGAACUUAAGGCUCUGAAGUCUGAGUGCAGUUUCUGAAGAAUGGGGCUUGAGCUCUAAAGUCACUAAGAUCCAUGCUAAAGCUACCUGAAAAGAUGUUGGAGACCCUACGCACAGAGCUGACUGGUGGCUUUUGACAGUUCCACGUAGACAUAUGAUGCAUGCAUGGAGAGGCUACCUCAUGUGUGCAGUGAGCAAGUCAGACUUGUGCCAUAGCUGUUAUUUCUGACACAUUGCAAACCAGGCUGCCAGCUAUCCAGAAAAGCAAUGUGUAACCAUAACCAAAACAGUGCAGGAAGACCUGGGUCCUACCCAGUUUUCCUGUGGGAUAUGGAGUUUGACAGUAUAAUGUAGACAUCUAUUAUUUGGGACAUCCAGCAACCUAUAGUGCCUGUUAAGCUGUGGGAACCCAUUUGACUAUAACGGCAGUUACAUAUCCUGUAAACUGGCCACGCUCAAUUCUCCUACAGGCCAACUGCUAGAAAUACCUAAGCCUAGCAUUUCUCAAAUGUCAGAACGUCUCCCCAGAGGUAGCUCCAGGAUGAAGAAGCUGGCUCUAGCUGAAGCCAGGCAACAGUCUCAGUCCACUCCUCCCAGCAAUAAACAACUCCCACACAUCAAGAAAGUGCUGGGGUUUCCUAAGGCUCAUUAAGCUCAUUAAAAAGGAAACAGCACCAGUUUCUGAAAGUGCUUCUUCCACCCUCAAGCUGAUGGGAGAAUAUUCUCCCAUCCUCCUAGCUGAGGGUCUGGCCACUGGCACUUGGGUAACUGAGGCGCUUCACCUCUGAGUGUAUAAAAUGUGAUGGGGCUGAAGCUGGCACAGAACGAAGCUGUGACUUUUCAGGAUUCAGUCCAGCCUUCUGUGAGCACUUCAGGACAAUGAUCACACCCCACCACUGGCUCCCAGCCCAUUUCCAAUGUCCACGUAAAGCUUUGUUCUUACAUUUUGAAGCAAUAAUGAACCCAGCGCUGGCAUCAUCAAAGUCAUGGUAUGAUCUUUGAACCACUAUAACUGCAAGUCCUCUGGGACCAUGUAUAUCAGAAGACUUUUAAAGCAAUUAAUGGAUUCAGCCCCAUUUGCAUCAAAGUUCCAGUUCUGAUUUAUGCACUGCCAUGAUAGCUGUGCUCCUUUGGGACAAGGCAGUUCACAAAGCUUAUAUGCUACAGAAGUAGCAUAUAAGAGCUGGGGACAUCUUCAGUUAAGGAGAUCCUACAAUUGGACAGUCUUCCAAAGGAGAUCAAACAAAUGGCAAGUCUUCAGGGAAAACAGCCAAGCCACCUGAGAAACAUUUUCACUCUGAGUCAUACAUGUGGUUUGAACCCCUCAACCUUUAAUGUCUACCCACUCUGCCCACUUCCCAAAAACUGGAGAAGAUACUCACUCCCCAAAAGGGAAGACUUACCAAAGACUUAAUGAAAUGUGUUAGGGGCUUCACGAUUUCUAUUGCUUUCAUGUGAAAAGCAAUCAGUGAUGAUUUAAAAUUGUUGAAUAGAGAAGUAGGUAGAUUAAUUAGCUGAUAAACUGAUUCUAAUGUUUACUUAUAAAAAUACCAUGGGGAAACAUCCCUUCUCUCUUUGAGAGCAAACUACCACUGGCCUUUCCUCAGUUGCUCAGAUGAAAAUGGUGGUAUCCUUUGUCUGCCUCUUCAAGCCUCAGUCUGAAUAUGCCAGGAAUUAAGUGAAAAGCAUAUGCUAUCCACUUUUAGGAUGUAUGAGGGUUUGUGAUACAGUCUUUCUUAACUUCCCAUGAAUUUUUGUUAUCUCAAGUUAUGUGAGGAAUUGCUAUUACCUUUCACAUAAUACAAGAUCAAGGGAUUAAACAUUUGUCCCUCCUCCUGAUAUUUAGGGAUAGCGUUUCCACUGCCUAUUGUUAUUUGCAGGAUCAGGAUUUAAAUCCGCAGAGUAUUUUGAGGGUUUCUAAGAGAGUAAGGUAAAUAUGAGUCACUUAUUAUUACUGACAGUGAUGCUAAAAUCUUUACCUUCUGUGGUAGGGAGAGAAAAAAUCAGGAGCCUUCUAGAAAUGUGGUUUACAGACAGAGAUUUUAAAAUUGCUUUGUUCCGUUGAAAAUCAUUGUAAAUUGAAGCUUAGCUUUUUUCAAGUUCCUUUUUAAUUAUUAUUAUUCAGAUAUUUGGUAAUUCAACACAGUAUACCAUGGUGGUUUUAUUUUAAACUGUGCAGACACUUGUAGCAUGAAAUUCUAACAUGAGAGAUGUUGGCUGUAACUAUGUUGGCUAUUAUCAAGUAAAUUGCCAAUAUAUAAUAAUGAGUGUUUGCUUUUUAUUCUUAUUUAUAAUUAUUUUUUCUACCCAGUAGAACACAAUAAAACUCUUGGUUCAUGUGCUUUGUCACAGCAUGGGGUGAUAUCAAAAUGAAUAAUGCUGAGGUGGUUACUGGCAAAGCAUUAUGGAGAAUAAACUCAUGUGAGAACAUUUAUAUGUAAAUCCUGCUCCAGUCAGGAUGUUAAGCAAUUUCACAGUCAUACUGCACUGCCUUGCUACCCAGUUGAAGGACUUUCUUCUAUUGUACUGUGCUGAUUCCUGAUAUGAACUGGCCUGCUUCCACUGAUGAGAGGUGAGCAAAUGCCCUCACUAUGUUUAAAGGCCCACCAUCCAGCCAUGCUAGCAAGUGUUACUUCUGAUAAUGCUGCUGCUCACCUUUGCACCCUGAGCUCUAAGAUUGUCUCAAUAUGAGAUAUAUUUUCCCAUAUGUGGUUCAGUGGCUCAAUAUUUCUUUACGGUAGAAAAUCUUAAUUGGAAGGGCAAAACAAGCAUGCAGUAUUCAGAACUGGCACUGCUGUUGCUUAGCUUCUUUCUCCAGUUUGGCGCUGUGAGAGAGAUGAGAUGUCACCUCCUGUGGCAAAAGUUAAGAGAGUCACAGAAGACCGUCCUCAUGAAGGGCCUGAAACUAAUAUGAGUAAGGGGUUUGUUAUUCCAGGUAAAUUGUGAAUAUCACACCUAGCAUGAUCAGCUGGUAUGUUCAGCCCAUAGAGCCUCAUCCCAAGUCUGCUGGAACCAGCGGAAAAGCAAUGUUAGAACCUACCAUAUUUCUCACCAUUUGUGCUAAAGGGUUUGGUUGCAAACUUAUUUGGCUUCACCUGUAUGAUAUCAGAUUUUAACUAUCUGUUCGCAUUAUUGCAAAGAUUAACAUCUUGUUUCUGAUAAUGUAUUUUUGUUUCUUUGACCAACAUUAUAGGCAUCUGCAAGAGUCAUUAGUCACAAGGCAGAAAAAUGCUCACUGUGUACCAGACCAAAAGGAGGUCCUUUGAAAAUGGAAACUGGGAUCCAGAGGUAGAGAACUGAACGAACCAAAGGACUUUUUUUCUUGUUAUUUUUAUACAAACUGUGGUAGGCCACUACCACAGUUUACAAAAUCUAUUCUCAUUUUAACUGUUGGCAGAAUUAAAAACAAAGUAAAAAUAAGAGAAA